GGGCCAAAGCUCAGUGGUAGAACAUCUGUCUGUCACCAGGAAGUCUAAUGUUCAAACUCUGGUAUCUCCCAGUAAGCCUGAAACCCAGGAGAGCCACUGCCAGUCAGUGCAUACAAUGCUGUACUAGAUGGGCCAAGUGUUUGUCUCUGUGGCACUAGGGACGCGGGUGGCACUGUGGGUUAAACCACAGAGCCUAGGACUUGCCGAUCAGAAGGUCGGUGGUUCGAAUCCCCACGACGAGGUGAGCUCCA